CAAUAGCGUAUACUAAUGUUGUUGCAGUUAAAAAGCUCGUAGUUGAACUUCUGGUAGGAGUGUCCCGGCCUUUUUGUUUUUACAAAUUGUAUGCUGUGUGACAUCUCUGGCCAUCCUUCUUCUUUGUUUAAAGAAGAUCUUUCACUGUAAAAAAAUUAGGGUGUUCAAAGCAAAAGUUUCUUUGGAAUAUAUUAGUAUGGGAUGAUAAGAUAGGCUCUAGAUGCUAUUUUGUUGGUUUGCACAUUUAGAGAAUGAUUAACAGGGACAGUUGGGGGUAUUCGUAUUUACAUGUCAGAGGUGAAAUCCUUGGAUUUUGGAAAGACGAACUACUGCGAAAGCAUUUACCAAGGAUGUUUUCAUUAA
rnacentral:rRNA from 1 species